rnacentral:rRNA from 1 species
UAUUUGUGGAAUGUUUUUUGUUUUUUCUCGCAUUGAAAAAAAUGUAUUCAUUUAGCCGGGAAAUGCCCAGAGGCCGUUUGUAUUUAUUCAUCGGGGAAUGCCCCCGAAGUAUCUUGUACACGAAGGAUGUUCAUGAUGAAGGCCCAAGGAGUUGGGUAGAGCAUAGUUCAAGGUUAGUAUAGGUUAGUGUAGGUUUAUUUUAAUAUUUUUUAGUUUGGACUGUAAUAAUCGGACUGAACACUAUUUUUCGGAUUUGUUUUGUGUGGUUUGUUUUUCUGUUCAUUUUGUUUGUUUUUUUAUUUGGUUUAUACAUUUCUUGGUGUCAUACUAGCCAAUAUGCUCCACAAAGUGACCGUGAUCAAACCACGGGACCGAGGGGUGCCUAACACCUUCCCCUCGGUCAACAGAAUUCCUUAACCGGAAUCUCUAUUCGUGGACCAGUUUUAAAAGAGUCAAAAAAUUAUUUUGAAAAAGAAUUUCCAUCGGUGACUUGGCACACCAGAUUUAUGUCAAGUGGCGACUCUGAGUUAAAAUGAAAAAGAAUCCUUUUCGAAGUAAAUUUCAUCUUUUGUUACUUAAUAAUAAAAAUUCUUUCAAACUUAAAAUCUAAUCUUUUUUGGUUGAAAAAGGGGUGUGACACCCAAUGAACAAUGAUUUACAUGAAUGACUCAGACAACAAGCCCAAGUUUGAGAAAACAAUAUAAAUUUUGACAGUUUGGAACUUAAUUAUAGAAAAUUUUGAUAUUUUAUAUAAUUAUUGAAAAUCUUAAUUUUAAGUCUGUUUAGAUACAUAAUUAGCUUCCGAUACAUCCAACGAAGAUACGUAAUUAGCUGAAAUUUUUAUAAUUAAUUUCUAGGGAUGGAAAUUUGUGUAAUUAUAAUAAGUUAAGGUGUAUGUUUAUGCUAUUUUUUCUUUAAUUAAUUUAACUUCUCGCUUAAAAGUUUUAAAAUUUUAGAAAGCGAUAUUUGUUGUCGAUCACUUAUAAAUUGUAGGCAUAACAUUUUAAGAAGUCGAUGACCUUAUUCAAUAGGCAACACAUUCUACCUUAUGGACAAAAUUUGAUAGUGUUGUUCAAGUCCAAAGGCGGAUUCAACUUUUGAAAUAUAUGAAUUCCUACACCGAUUCCAAGUUGACGUAAAAUAUUAACUCGAAUUCAUAAUCAAUAAUUUAUACUCUCUCCGUCCCAUUGUAUGUGUCAUUAUUUUCUUUUUGGUCCAUCCCAAAAAGAAUGUUAUGUUUCCUUAUUUGGUAAAUAUUUAAAAAUAAAAUUAUACUUUUACCCUUAUUGGGCUCACAUAAUUAAAAAAAAUAUAGCAACACAUUUUUUUGAUAAAGAACAAUUUGGUAAAUAUUAUUAAGUCUUCCCUUAUUUCUUAAACUCCAUGUCCGGUCAAAUGGCAACACAUAAAAUGGAAUGGAGGUAGUAUAUAUUUAUAGAUUUUUUAAUAUAUAUAUAUAUAUACAGGCUGAUAUAUGUUGGGCCAGUUCCUUAUAUAGUAGACCCGACUUAAUUGUAAUUUGUUUACAUUUACUAUAGCCCAAUACUGAUACCCGGCCUAAUAUGUGUGUAUAUAUAAUACUUGUACUUUAGUAAAGUUGACUGAACAGGACAAAAGGAAUAAAGAUAUUUUUUCUUAUCUUCUCUCUCUUCGUCUCUUGUACAUUUGGAUUUCCACCAUUGUUGAACCUGCUUCAUGGUCAAGCUUCAAAUCCAACAUGGUAUCAGAGAACGGAUAUAGAAAGAUCUGGACCUGAUAGUUCGACCGGUAAUACCCUUGUCGAUAAUUUCAAAGUUUCUCAAAUUCUUCAGAGAUUCUCGAAUUCGAAGCUUUUCAAAAUUUCUCCGUGGCUUUCUGCAAAAAUAGUUUCCUAAGCACACGGCCAAUUAUUAGUGGAAUUCCUUGUCAGGUAAGCUCCAACCCGCACAAAAGUCAUAACGAUCUGGGCACUGUAUCAAAGAGAGGCUCGGUGAAAUAGAUAUUUCUGUGAAGAUGCGGACUACUUGCACCUGGACAGAAAGACCCUAUGAAGCUUUACUAUUCCCUGGGAUUGGCUUUGGGCCUUUCCUGUGCAGCUUAGGUGGAAGGUGAAGAAGGCCUCCUUCCGGGAGGCCGCCCGAGCCAUCAGUGAGAUACCACUCUGGAAGGGCUAGAAUUAUAACCUUGUGUCAGGACCUACAGGGCAAGGGACAGUCUUAGGUAGAUAGUUUCUAUGGGGCGUAGGCCUCCCAAAAAGUAACAGAGGCAUUUAAAGGUUUCAUCGGGCCGGAUGGAGAUUGGCCCUUGAGUACAAAGGUAAAAUGAAGCUUGACUACAAGACCCACCCGUCGAGCAGGGAUGAAAGUCAUCCUUAGUGAUCCGACGGUGCCGAGUGGAGGGGUCGUCGCUCAAUGAAGAAAAGUUACUCUAGGGAUAACAGGCUGAUCUUCCCAAGAGCUCACAUCGAUAGGAAGGUUUGGCACCUCAAUGUUGGCUCUUCGCCACCAAGGGCUAUGGUAUGUUCCAAGGGUUGGGUUGUUCACCCAUUAAAGCGGUAUGUGAGCUGGGUUCAUAACGUUUGAGACAGUUUGUUCCAUAUCCGGUGUGGGCAUUAGAGCAUUGAGAGUACCUUUCACUAAUAUGAGAGGACCGGGAAGGACGCACCUCUGGUGUACCAGUUAUCGUGCCCACGGUAAAUGUUGGGUAGCCAAGUGUGGAGCGGAUAACUGCUGAAAGAAUCUAAGUAGUAAGUGCACCCCAAGAUGAGUGCUCUCCUAUUCCGACUUCCCUAGAGCUUUCGGUAGCACAACCGAGACAACGACGGGUUCUCUUCCCCUGCGGGGAUGGAGCGACAGAAGUUUUUUUGAGAAUUUAAGAGAAGGUCAUGGCGAGAUGAGCCAUUUAUCAUUACGAUAGGUUUCAAGUAGAAGUGCAGUGAUGUAUGCAGCUGAGGCAUCCUAAUAGACCAGUAGACUUGAAC